GCAGCCCGCGGCCCCCUCGCCUCCGCCCGCCGGCCCCGCGGCCCCGCUGCCCUAAACUCCGUAAAACCUCCGCAGCCGCGCGUCCCACCGCGCCCGGUCUAAUCAAUAGAAGAUGGCAAAGCCCAGUCACAGCAGCUAUGUCCUGCAGCAGCUCAACAACCAAAGAGAAUGGGGCUUUCUGUGUGACUGCUGCAUUGCUAUUGACGACAUCUACUUCCAGGCGCACAAAGCGGUCCUAGCUGCCUGUAGCUCCUACUUCAGGAUGUUUUUCAUGAACCAUCAGCACAGUACUGCACAGCUGAACCUCAGCAACAUGAAAAUCAGCGCCGAGUGUUUUGAUCUCAUUUUGCAGUUCAUGUAUUUAGGAAAGAUUAUGACCGCUCCUUCCAGUUUUGAGCAGUUCAAAGUGGCCAUGAACUACCUCCAGCUCUACAAUGUGCCUGACUGCUUAGAAGAUAUACAGGACGCAGACUGUUCUAGUUCAAAAUGUUCAUCUUCUGCUUCCAGCAAACAGAACAGCAAGAUGAUUUUUGGGGUGAGAAUGUAUGAAGACACGGGGGCUAGAAACAGCAGUGAAGCCAGCAGGUGGUGUGCGGAGCCCAGUUCCACAGUGAACACACCGCACAACAGAGAGCCUGAGGAAGAGUCUUUACAGUUGACGAACUUUCCUGAGCCGCUGUUCGAUGUGUGUAAAAAAAGUUCUGUGUCCAAGUUAUCUGCUCCAAAAGAACGUGUGUCACGACGCUUUGGGCGGAGUUUUACCUGUGAUAGUUGUGGAUUUGGCUUCAGCUGUGAAAAGUUACUAGAUGAACAUGUGCUGACCUGUACCAACAGACAUUCAUACCAAAACACGACAAGAGCAUACCACCGAAUCGUAGAUAUUAGAGAUGGAAAAGAUAGUAACAUCAAAGCUGAACUUGGUGAAAAGGAUUCUUCUAAAACAUUUUCUGCACAGACAGACAAAUAUAGAGAAGACACCAGCCAGGCGCCUGAUGAUUCAGCCUCGACCACUGGAAGCAGAAAAAGCACCGCGGAGUCUGGAAUCGCUGGCGAAGAAAAAAGCAGAGCUGCUGAGACAAAGAGAAUUAUCAUCAAGAUGGAACCAGAAGAUAUCCCCGCAGAUGACAUAAAAGACUUUAACAUCAAAGUUACUGAGAAAGACUGCAACGAGUCCACGGACAAUGAUGAAUUGGAAGAUGAACCGGAAGAGCCAUUUUAUGGAUACUAUGUUGAGGAAGAUGUUGGCAUUAAAAAAAGUGGUCGCAAAACCCUAAAGCCUCGGAUGUCCAUCAGUGUGGAUGACAGAGGUGGCUUAGAGAACAUGAGAGCCCCAAACGCCACCAGUCCGGCACAAGAGGACGCCGAGAACGCGUCUUGUGAGUUGUGUGGACUCACGAUAACUGAGGAGGACCUGUCAUCUCAUUACUUAGCCAAACACAUUGAAAAUAUCUGUGCAUGUGGUAAGUGUGGACAGAUACUGGUCAAGGGCAGACAGCUUCAGGAACACGCUCAGCGGUGUGGGGAGCCCCAGGAUCUGACCAUGAACGGGCUCGGGAAUGCCGAUGAGAAGAUGGACAUGGAAGAGAACCCCGACGAGCAGACGGAGAUAAGGGACAUGUUUGACAUGCUGGAUGACUUCAGAGACAGUCAUUACCAGAUAAACAGUCUCCAGAAAAAGCAGCUGUUUAAACAUUCUGCUUGUCCUUUCCGAUGUCCCAAUUGUGGCCAGCGUUUUGAAACUGAGAACUUAGUGGUUGAACAUAUGUCUAGCUGCCUAGACCAGGAUAUGUUUAAGGGCGCCAUCAUGGAGGAAAACGAAAGAGAUCACAGACGGAAACAUUUUUGUAAUCUGUGUGGAAAAGGAUUUUAUCAGCGCUGUCAUUUGAGAGAGCACUAUACUGUUCAUACUAAAGAAAAGCAGUUUGUUUGUCAGACAUGUGGAAAGCAGUUUUUAAGAGAGCGCCAGUUGCGUCUGCACAAUGAUAUGCACAAAGGCAUGGCCAGAUACAAGAUUUGAGGACUAUAAAAUAAUCACAGCAUAUAAACGGAAACAGCUGCUUCUACUUUUCAGUGGUGCAGUAGGGCCUUCUAAGCCUCUGGAGAAGUGACAAAUCUGAAUUUGGAGAGAACAUGGGGAAGAAUCAUUCUUCAACAGAUAAUCUUUAAGUGCAGACCCAGGAAAUCAGAUCUGACGUGGCACCAUCUUUUCUGUCUUCCUGACAAACGUCAUCAUCCCCAAAGUUCCAGUUGCAAAGAUCCAAGGAAACUCAAUAAAGAUCACUUUGGAAUCACUUUGUUGUAACAAAACUGAUUCACGGUGACUCUCCCAGUACUUAUGGGAAAUCUGCUAAAGAAAAGUGACUGUAAAAGUCAUGUGACAUCGAUGAUUAAAGCUACACUAAAAUGAAACUUUAUGUCAUGUUAUCUUCAUGGAUCUAGAAUAAUAGGGCUUGCUAGACUACUUACAUACAUUCUAAAGGGAGAUAAUUAUGUAUUUCCAUAAAUAUAUCAUUCUAAAAGUAACCAGAAUUAUAGCUUAUAUAUUAUGAAAUGUAGUUAAGCAAUUUAAGAGGAUACUAAAAAUAUCUGUAGAGUGUAAGUAAAAAGAGAUGGAGAAAGAAAAUCCAAGGCCAGUUCUUUACAGGAUGAUGUAGCUAUUAUGGAAGUGUAACACUAGUUUUCCUUUCUCCCUGGGUACCAGUCGCACACUUGCCUGUGAAUAUUAGCAAAGCUUCUUUCUAAGUCUCUUGAAGAACAGAGGAGCAUUAUUAUUCAGCAGUGGUAGAUUUCCACAAAUCAUACCUUAUUUUCUUCUGAACUUAUUUACACUAAAACCCCAUAGUGUAGAAUAAAUUUCUGUUGAUCUCAGAACUAGUGUGUAGCACAAUGCUCCUCUUCAAAUCUCAACAUAAAAGUCAGUGCUAAGUGCAGUGGCAACAUGUUUAUAAAAAUCCCGUCCCGAGGAGAGGAGUUAGUGAGAGUAGAGUCUGGCUGUGACUACGAAUGCUUUGCUACACAUCCACUCCUUAACCAUAUGAAUCUUAUGAUCAUAUUAUUUCCUUAUUGUGAAUAUACUUCUUUUUACUUUUUGUUAACUAUGUGACUAAGUACUUAUUGCUUUUUUGUGUGUGUAAUAUCAGAUGUUUAAAUGCUUGCUUUGUUUUCAUGCAAAAUUUUUCAAAUAUUUUAGUAAGUUACCCAAAGAAACCUGUCUUAGAAAAUAAAUAAAGGUGGCACACAGCUUUAAUUCCUUUAGUUGGGAGGCAGAGGCAGGCUGAUCUCUGUAAGUUCUUGGCCAGCCUGGUCUACAUAAUGAGUUCUAGGCCAGCCAAGCCUAUAUAAUGAGAACUUGUUGUAAAAAAAAUUUUUUAUUAAAAAUAGAAAAGUCUAACUCUGAGAUAGUAAGAACUUGAAUACUGUUCUAGAAUCCUUGCCUGAAAAGUCAGAGACAGAGUCCACCAUGGUAGGAUAAUAGGAAGAGAGGAAAGAAGAGA